rnacentral:rRNA from 1 species
UUUAAAUUGAGAGUUUGAUCCUGGCUCAGGACGAACGCUGGCGGCGUGCCUAACACAUGCAAGUCGAGCGAUGAAACCCUUCGGGGUGAAUUAGCGGCGGACGGGUGAGUAACACGUGGGUAACCUGCCUCAAAGAGGGGA